GGCUGGAUAAAUGAACAAAUCCCUUCCCACACACAGGGCAGGUGAAUGGCCCCUCCCGAGUGUCAAUUCUCUGGUGUGUCUGCAGGCUUAAUCACUGAGUUUUGGAUCUCAAGGACAUCACCGCGGAGCAGAGUGAUUCCUAUUGGUUGAUUCAGGCAGGUUUCCAUUGUGGACGUCACAAUGCGGAAGUUGGACAAUGAGCUUCAGACUGAAACUUCCUCCUCUGGGCAACAUCUACAGCCUGUGGGAAACUGAUCCCCGGAGUCUCCAGGGUGAGUUUGAGUGAUUCGAGUGGGAGGGAUAUUAGAAGGGAAAGAUUUGCAGACCGAAAUCUCAAACCAAACGUCAAAUCAAGAUCUGCCAAACUCAUUUGAUUAAAUGGGACCUGAAUAUCAUUGGUUCUUUGAACUGAGCAGGGGAAAUGUUUGUCUGUUCUGUCCGCUUCAAAAGGUUUUAAGCCUCAGUGUGACUGGAAAAACACCGAGACACACACACCCAAGUGAGAGUGUUCCAGUGCAUUGACUGUGGAAAGAGCUUUAACCAGUUACACAGUCUGAAAAAACAUCACCAUUCACAGUGAGGAGAGACUUAUACAUGUUUUGUGUGUAGACAAGGCUUCAAGUGAUUGUGGGACCUGGAGAGAUACAAGGGCAUGAGCACCAUGGAGAAACCGUGGGAAUGUGGGGACUGUGGGAAGGGAUUCAAAUCCCCAUCGAAGCUGGAAACUCAUCGACACAGUCACACCGGGGAGAGGCCGUUCAUCUGUCCUGACUGUGAGAAGGGUUUCACUCAGUUAUCCCACCUGCUGAGGCACCAGUGAGUUCAUACCGGGAAGUGGCCAUUCACCUGCACUGAGUGUGGCAACAGAUUCAGAGAGUUAUCCAGCCUGUAGUCACACCAGUGAUUUCAAACUGGGGAGAAGAUGCCAUUCGUCUGCUCUGUGUGUGCGAAGGGAUUCGCUCACUCAUCCAACCUGCUGAAACACCAGUGAAUUCACACUGGGGAGAGGCCAUUCACCUGCUCUGAAUGUGGGAACGGAUACGGUAAUUCAUCUGACCUGCAGACACACAAGGGAGUUCAUGGUGGGGAGAGACUAUUCACCUGCUUCCAGUGUGGGAAGGGUUUCAGUGAUUCAUUCAACCUGCUGUGACACCAGAGAACUCACACUGGAGAGAGGCCUUCACCUGCUCCGAGUGUGGGAAAGGAUUCACUCAGUUAUCCAGUCUGCAGUCACACCAGCGGGUUCACACUGGCGAGAGGCCAUUCACCUGCUCUGAGUGUGG